CGCUGGCGGGCAGCCGGCCGAGGAGCCCGGGGGAGCUCGCCUGGCAGCCGGCAGGCUCGGGGGGUCCGUCCAGGUGAUGAGCUCCACCAACGGGGAGCUGAACACGGACGACCCGACGGCGGGGCACUCGAACGCGCCCAUCACAGCCCCCACCGAAGUGGAGGUGACCGACGAUACAAAGUGCUGCUGUUUCUUCAAGAGGAGGAAGAG